UUUUACAUGAAAUUUCAAAGAUGUUAUAAAACUUCAGAUAGCCAAAGCUCAUACAAUUGUAUUU